GUGAAAUUCAUCUGGUGGGCAGUCAGAGAGCUUGCUUCACAGGAAAUUGAAAGGGGUUCCUCCAUUCUGUGAUUUGUAGUGCCAGCAUCAUUCCUUUUCCUGAAGGAAAGCAAGAGAAAAGAUUGAGAGGGGAUGAAAGGAGGGCAGAUGGCUUUCACAUUAAGAGGGAAGAGCCUGAAAUUCUUCAGGUUCUCAUUGUUUAAUUUACAUCAACAGUAGGAAUAUUUGAGAGAAUACCCUAGGGGCCUGUUCAUUUGAUCAGUUUGGUGUCCUUAGUCUGUUGACAAGGUAGACAACACGAAGGAAAUGAAACAAGACAGUAUUAAGUUUUCACCAGGAGAAUGGAAGAUGAGAGGGUCCAAAGAAUGAGGUAUGACUUUUGCUGUGUUCAUUUGGACAGAGGGAAGGCCUGCAUCCAGGAAGCGAUCAGCUGUGCAAGCAAGAAAUCCAGUGGUGGAGAGACCCAGAAAUAAGUAUCUUCCUUGAAUUGAUGAAAAUGAAAAUACAGAAGAAAGAGAAGCAGUUGUCAAAUUUAAAAGUUUUGAAUCACUCCCCAAUGUCUGAUGCCUCUGUCAAUUUUGACUACAAAUCCCCAUCCCCGUUUGACUGCAGCACUGAUCAGGAAGAGAAAAUUGAAGAUGUUGCCAGGCACUGUCUGCCCCAGCAGGACAUAUACACUACUGAAGAAGAAGCUGACACCCUUUUCCCUAGGAAAGUGACAUCCUGCAAUGGGACAGAGGAUAGUGGAGGCGGAGGUACUGGAGUGAAGAAGAAACGGAAGAAAAAGGACCCAGGAGAGCAAGGUGGUACAGCAAAGGGAAACAAGGACAGGGAGCCCAAGCCAAAGAGGAAGCGAGAACCUAAAGAGCCAAAGGAACCCAGGAAGACCAAGGAGCCGAAGAAGGCCAGGGAGCCCAAGGAGCCCAAGCAGAAAGAUGGAGCAAAGAAGGCGCGCAAGCCCCGAGAGGCCUCUGGCACCAAGGAGGCCAAAGAGAAGAGGAGCAGUGCUGACUCUGCAGCCAGGACAAAGUCCAAGAAGGCCAGCAAGGAGCAAGGACCAACACCAGUGGAGAGAAAGAAGAAAGGAAAGAGGAAAAGUGAAACAACAGUGGAGAGUUUAGAACUGGAUCAGGGCCUGCCGAACUCAUCCCUGCGGAGUCCCGAGGAGUCCACUGAGUCUGCUGACAGCCAGAAACGACGUUCAGGUCGACAAGUGAAACGCAGAAAAUACAACGAGGACCUCGACUUUAAAGUGGUGGAUGAUGACGGGGAAACGAUCGCUGUUCUUGGAGCUGGCCGAACAUCUGCACUCUCAGCUUCUACACUGGCUUGGCAGGCAGAGGAGCCUCCAGAAGAUGAUGCAAACAUCAUCGAGAAGAUAUUGGCAUCUAAGACCGUCCAAGAGGUUCACCCAGGAGAACCUCCAUUUGACCUAGAGCUAUUCUACGUUAAGUAUAGAAAUUUUUCCUACUUACAUUGUAAAUGGGCUACAAUGGAAGAGCUGGAAAAGGAUCCUCGCAUCGCACAGAAGAUCAAGCGAUUUAGAAAUAAACAAGCGCAGAUGAAGCACAUUUUUACUGAGCCUGAUGAAGAUUUGUUCAACCCAGACUAUGUAGAAGUCGAUCGCAUCUUAGAAGUGGCCCACACUAAGGAUGCAGAAACAGGGGAGGAAGUAACACAUUACCUGGUGAAGUGGUGUUCCCUGCCAUAUGAAGAAAGCACGUGGGAGCUAGAGGAAGAUGUGGAUCCUGCAAAAGUUAAGGAAUUUGAGUCUCUGCAGGUUCUGCCUGAAAUUAAGCAUGUGGAGCGGCCUGCAUCAGACUCCUGGCAGAAACUUGACAAGUCUCGCGAGUAUAAGAACAGUAACCAGCUCCGAGAGUACCAAUUGGAAGGCAUGAACUGGCUUCUUUUUAAUUGGUAUAACAGGAAAAACUGUAUUUUGGCUGAUGAGAUGGGCUUAGGGAAAACCAUUCAGUCCAUCACAUUCCUUUCAGAAAUAUUCCUCAGGGGGAUCCAUGGCCCUUUUCUCAUCAUUGCACCUCUCUCUACUAUCACCAACUGGGAGAGGGAGUUCCGGACAUGGACAGAGAUGAAUGCCAUUGUGUACCACGGCAGCCAGAUCAGCAGGCAAAUGAUCCAGCAGUAUGAGAUGGUGUACAGGGAUGCACAGGGAAAUCCCCUUUCAGGAGUUUUCAAGUUCCAUGUCGUCAUCACAACAUUUGAGAUGAUCCUGGCAGAUUGCCCAGAGUUGAAGAAGAUUCACUGGAGCUGUGUGAUAAUUGAUGAGGCACACAGAUUGAAGAAUAGGAAUUGCAAACUUCUAGAGGGGUUAAAGCUUAUGGCCCUGGAACAUAAAGUGCUACUCACCGGAACACCCUUACAAAACUCUGUGGAAGAGCUGUUCAGUUUGCUAAAUUUUCUGGAGCCAACACAGUUUCCUUCAGAGACUGCAUUCUUGGAGGAGUUUGGAGAUCUGAAAACAGAGGAACAGGUGAAGAAAUUGCAAUCUAUCCUAAAACCAAUGAUGCUUCGACGCCUGAAAGAUGAUGUGGAAAAGAACCUUGCUCCUAAACAAGAGACCAUCAUUGAAGUAGAAUUGACCAAUAUCCAGAAAAAGUACUACCGAGCUAUCCUGGAGAAAAAUUUUUCCUUCCUGACUAAGGGGGCAAAUCAGCACAACAUGCCCAAUCUUAUCAACACCAUGAUGGAGCUGAGAAAGUGCUGUAACCAUCCCUACUUGAUCAAUGGAGCAGAGGAAAAAAUUCUGGAAGAUUUCCGAAAAACUCACAGUCCUGAUGCUCCUGACUUUCAGCUGCAGGCCAUGAUCCAGGCAGCCGGGAAGCUGGUGCUGAUUGAUAAACUGCUUCCUAAGCUGAUUGCAGGUGGCCACAAAGUGCUCAUCUUCUCCCAGAUGGUGCGCUGCCUUGAUAUCCUCGAAGAUUAUCUCAUCCAGAGAAGAUACACCUAUGAGCGAAUUGAUGGGCGAGUACGGGGAAACCUGCGCCAGGCAGCCAUCGACCGAUUCUGUAAGCCAGACUCAGACCGCUUUGUCUUUCUUCUGUGCACCAGAGCGGGAGGCCUGGGGAUCAAUCUCACAGCUGCUGAUACCUGCAUCAUAUUUGAUUCUGACUGGAACCCACAAAAUGACUUGCAGGCUCAGGCCCGAUGUCACCGUAUAGGCCAGAGCAAAGCUGUGAAGGUGUACCGCCUCAUCACUCGGAACUCCUAUGAGCGGGAAAUGUUUGACAAGGCCAGCCUAAAGCUGGGCCUGGACAAGGCUGUCCUUCAGGACAUCAACCGAAAGGGCGGCACCAAUGGAGUACAGCAGCUCUCAAAAAUGGAGGUGGAGGAUUUGCUCCGGAAAGGUGCUUAUGGAGCCUUAAUGGACGAGGAGGAUGAAGGUUCCAAGUUCUGUGAAGAAGAUAUAGACCAGAUUCUGCAAAGGAGAACCCACACCAUCACCAUCCAGUCCGAAGGGAAAGGGUCCACUUUUGCCAAGGCUAGCUUUGUGGCUUCAGGAAACCGGACAGAUAUUUCCUUAGAUGACCCUAACUUUUGGCAGAAAUGGGCUAAAAUAGCUGAACUGGACACCGAAGCAAAGAAUGAAAAGGAGAGCUUAGUGAUCGACCGGCCUCGUGUAAGAAAGCAGACCAAACACUACAACUCUUUUGAGGAGGAUGAGCUUAUGGAGUUUUCAGAGUUAGACAGUGACUCAGAUGAAAGACCCACAAGAUCCAGACGCCUCAAUGACAAAGCCAGGCGCUACCUCCGAGCUGAGUGCUUCCGAGUAGAGAAGAACCUGCUCAUCUUUGGCUGGGGCCGAUGGAAGGACAUCCUGACUCAUGGGCGAUUCAAGUGGCACCUGAAUGAGAAGGAUAUGGAGAUGAUCUGCCGGGCCCUGCUGGUGUACUGUGUCAAACAUUAUAAGGGGGAUGAGAAGAUCAAGAGUUUCAUUUGGGAACUAAUCACACCUACGAAAGAUGGACAGGCCCAGACUCUCCAGAACCACUCAGGGUUGUCUGCCCCAGUCCCUAGAGGGAGGAAAGGAAAGAAGAUGAAGAAUCAGCUGCUGCUCCCAGAACUAAAAAAUGCAGACUGGCUGACCACCUGCAACCCUGAGGUGGUCUUGCAUGAUGAUGGCUACAAGAAACACCUCAAGCAGCACUGUAACAAAGUCCUUUUGCGAGUCCGGAUGCUGUACUACCUAAAAGCUGAAAUCCUGGGAGAAGCAGCUGAUAAAGCAUUUGAGGGAGCUCCUGCCAGGGAACUGGAUGUGCCUCUGCCUGACAUUGACUACGUGGAGAUCCCAGUGGACUGGUGGGAUGCUGAGGCUGAUAAAUCCCUUCUCAUUGGUGUUUUCAAGCAUGGUUAUGAGAGGUACAAUGCCAUGCGAGCAGACCCAGCCCUCUGCUUCCUGGAGAAAGUUGGGAUGCCAGAUGAGAAGUCCCUUUCAGCAGAGCAGGGUGGUACAGAUGGGACAUCAGACAUUCCUGAAAGAGGCAACAUGGAUAAAGAAGACACCACCGAAGACAAAUUAGAUGGCCUCCAGAAACAAACGGAGAAUUCCAGUGACGGUGGCGAAGGCGUUUUUGGUGAAAAGAAGGAUGACAGCCGGGCAGCCCAGGAUAGCUCCGACCCAGACAAAUCACCCUGGCCAGUUUCAUCCGCUCUCACAGCUCGUCUCCGGCGUCUGGUCACUAUCUACCAGCGCUGCAACCGUAAAGAGCUCUGCAGACCUGAAAUCCUGGGACCGGGUAACCAGGGAUACUGGGUUCAGGAGGAGAUGUUCAGGAGAACCUCAGAAAUGGACCUCAUCAACAAGGAAACCCAGAAGAGGUGGACCAGGAGAGAGCAAGCAGACUUCUACAGAACAGUGUCUUCCUUUGGUGUUGUUUACGAUCAAGAGAAGAAAACCUUCGACUGGACCCAGUUCCGCAUCAUAUCCCGUCUGGACAAGAAGUCAGAUGAGAGCCUGGAACACUAUUUUUAUAAUUUUGUGGCCAUGUGCCGGAACGUCUGUCGUCUGCCUGCCUGGAAAGAUGGUGGUCCCCCUGAUGCCACCGUCUACAUUGAACCCAUCACUGAGGAACGGGCUGCAAGAACUCUGUACCGCAUUGAAUUGUUACGGAAAGUCCGAGAGCAGGUGCUCAGGUGUCCUCAGCUGCAUGAGCGCCUCCAACUCUGCAGGCCCAGCCUCUACCUCCCAGUCUGGUGGGAGUGUGGCAAGCAUGAUCGAGACCUGCUCAUCGGUACGGCCAAACACGGGCUUAACCGUACUGACUAUUACAUCAUGAAUGACCCCCAGCUGUCCUUCCUGGAUGCCUACAGAAACUAUGCCCAGCAUAAAAGAACUGAUACUCAGGCACCAGGCAGUCUCUGUUGUCUUUACCAGACCAACUCCAAAUUAUAUGAAUCUCUUACCUAUGCUCAAAUGAGUAGGACUUCAGAGUCUCUUGAGAGUGAACCUGAGAACCUGGUGAAAAUUGAAAGCAGAGAUGAUCCUCUGGGUCUGCCUGGAGGCAGCUUUCCUGAUGUGACUUGUGACAAUUUUAUUUCUAAAGUUCAGGAUGUUAUUUCUAUCAACCAUGAUGAAAGUCUGCUGCCUGAGAGCUUGGAGAACAUGAUGUAUGGUAACAAGGUCCUCAGCCCAGAGCCAGGCUCUUUUCAGGAAGGCCCAGUAAUCAACACAGAAUGCAGAAAAGAUACUGUUGUGAUCUCAGCAAGCAAAAAUGCAGGCUGCCGGCCUGGUGACCGUGAGGCAGAAAUAGCUGCAGUUUCUCUUAUGGAUACCAUAGAAGCAGGAGUAGCUCAAAUGAACAUCGAAAGUGGAGAACAUUUGUUGACACCUAUUUCAAAGGAAAGGGAGCGCUGCUGCGGUGAGGCAGGGCGGAGACCUGAAAGCUUGGGGCAGCUGGAAGCCAAAUGCCUACCUUCCACUGCCUUGGAUGCAGGAAAUGAAAGUGGGUUUGUAGAUAUGUGCAGUCUCAGUGUCUGUAACUCUAAAAGAAACCUCUCAUCAGAUCAGAAAUUAAUUGAUUUAUUACAAAGCAAAAGUUUAGAAACUAAAUUGAUUUUGAGUCAGAACCAGAGUGAUGAGGAGGAGGAAGAGGAUGAAAAUGAGGAAGAAACUUUAGCCAUGGCAGCAGGCACCAGAGAAAAGCCAGAAGCUUUGCAUCUCACCAGUCCCACUGCUAACAACCCAAGGGAAAAGAGCCAAGGCUUCCAUCUGGAUGAAGCUAAGAAAGGAAGCCUAGAGGUGGUGAGCCAAACUCCUGGGCCGCCGAGGGCCUUUCCUCCAGCGUCCUGUCAGUGCCACUGCAAACACGUGGAAAGGUGGGCACACGGCCUCGGGAAUGAUGAAUUUGAAGUAGAGAAACCCAAGGCUUAUCACCCAGACCUGUACAAAAGCAAAGCCAAUAAUACCACCAUGGAAGGUGAGCCCACUACUAUUCCAUCAGAGCCAUUUAAAGUGAAGCCUGAGCUUUUAAAAGAACCUUGGAAAGAAUGUGCAGAAAGAAAAAAAGGUUUCUCCACAUACGCUCCCGAAGGAAGUGAACCCAAGUCAGAAGACAUGGAUUUCGAAAAUAAAGAUGACUAUGACAGAGAUGGAACCUGCCAGAGUCAAGACUAUCCAGGGAAAUACUCAGAAGAGGAGAGCAAGAGCUCAGCCUCGGGUAUUGCCGGAGACCUUGGGGAUGACCCACAGGAGGCUCGAGCUCCCACCAUUGCUCAGCUGCUGCAGGAGAAAACCCUCUACUCCUUCUCGGAGUGGCCAAAGGAUCGUGUGAUAAUUAAUCGCCUAGAUAGCAUCUGCCAUGUGGUGUUGAAGGGAAAGUGGCCAUCUAGCCAGCAGUAUGAGCCCUCGGGCACACUGUCCACCCCAGUCUUAGUCAACAGCGCUGGUUCUCGGAACAGUCUCCCGGAGCCAGAAGCAGCAGAACACAGCUUCAGCAACGGUGCGACAUUGGCAGCUCAGGUCCAAAAGGAGAGCUUCUUAGCUCCAGUAUUCACAAAAGAUGAACAAAAGCACAGACGUCCCUAUGAGUUUGAGGUGGAGAGGGAUGCCAAGGCUCGGAGCCUAGAACAGUUCUCUGCCACCCACGGGCACCCCCCCAUCGUCCUCAAUGGCUGGCAUGGAGAGUCAGCUAUAGACCUCUCCUGCUCAUCAGAGGGGUCCCCAGGAGCCACAUCCCCUUUCCCAGUGAGUGCCAACACCCCUAAGAUUGGGGCUAUCGGUUCACUUCAAGGAGCCCUUGGCAUGGACUUGUCUGGGAUCCUGCAAGCUGGCCUGAUCCACCCAGUGACUGGACAGAUUGUCAACGGAAGCCUCAGACGAGAUGAUGCUGCCAUGAGGAGGCGGAGGGGAAGACGGAAACAUGUUGAAGGCGGGAUGGACCUCAUCUUUUUGAAGGAGCAAACACUUCAGGCAGGAAUCUUGGAAGUCCAUGAAGACCCAGCACAGGCCACCUUGAGCACCACACACCCUGAAGGCCCAGGACCUGCUACCUCGGCCCCUGAGCCAGCAGUAGCAGCCAACGGCCAGGCCGAGAAAACCAUUCCAAGCAAGAGCCUGCUUGACUGGCUGCGGCAGCAGGCUGACUACUCCUUAGAUGUUCCUGGCUUUGGGGCAAAUUUUUCAGACAGACCAAAGCAGAGGAGGCCACGCUGUAAAGAACCUGGAAAAUUAGACAUCAGCUCUCUGAGUGGAGAAGAGAGGGUUCCUGCUGUCCCCAAGGAGCCAGGACUGAGGGGGUUUCUCCCAGAAAACAAGUUCAAUCAUACCCUGGGUGAGCCUGUACUUCGGGAUGCAGGCCCCCGCCGGAGGGGGCGGCGGCCUCGGAGUGAGCUCCUGAAAGCGCCAGCCAUUGUGGCAGACUCUCCCUCUGGAAUGGGACCUCUAUUCAUGAAUGGGUUGAUUGCAGGAAUGGACCUGGUAGGAUUGCAGAAUGUGAGAAAUAUGCCAGGCAUCCCUCUCACUGGGCUGGUGGGCUUCCCAGCUGGCUUUGCAACCAUGCCUACAGGCGAAGAGGUAAAAAGCACCCUCAGCAUGCUGCCCAUGAUGCUGCCAGGCAUGGCCACAGUGCCCCAGAUGUUUGGUGUUGGGGGACUCCUCAAUCCUCCUAUGGCAACCACCUGCACGUCCACUGCUCCAGCGUCACUCUCAAGCACAACGAAAAGUGGUACGGCAGCCACUGAAAAGACUGCGGAGGACACACCCGGCGGCCAUGAUGUAAAAGCAGACACGUUAGCUGAAGACAAGCCUGGUCCUAGUCCAUUUUCUGAUCAGUCUGAAUCCGCAAUAACUACUAGUAGCCCUGUGGCUUUUAACCCGUUUCUCAUCCCGGGAAUGUCUCCUGGACUCAUUUACCCAUCCAUGUUUCUCUCCCCUGGUAUGGGCAUGGCUCUGCCGGCCAUGCAGCAGGCCAGACACUCUGAGGUAGUUGGUCUGGAGAGCCAGAAGAGGAAGAAGAAGAAAACAAAGGGGGACAACCCCAACCCCAACCCCAACCCCAACCCCAACCCAGAGCCUGCUCCCGGGUGCGAAAGGGAGCCAGGCGCUGAUCAGAACUGCACCGAAUCCAGCACCCCUGUACCCCCAGAGAGACAACAUGUGACACAGCCUGGAGAAGGGGGACUCAAGGACUCCAACAGUGACACCAAUUAGAACUUUUUCAUUUAAGAAAUUAUUGUGACUUGUUUCUUAUCCCAUAAAGCGAGUGAGUGAGGAUUACCAGUCCCACCGGAAAGAGGAACAUCGAGAAUGUGGAAGGGGCAAAGAAGAGCUUGCUCCAGGUCCCAAG
rnacentral:lncRNA from 1 species